CCUAUCUUUGUGGUUGCCAAUUUGAUGACAGGUUCUGAAGUGGGAAGAUGUGGAAAUUGAAGAGUCAAAAGAAGGCAAGGUUGCCAAAUUGAUGACAGGUUCUCAAUUAGUCAAGGAUGUGGUCUUGAAAUUGAACCCACUUUUCACAAAGAACAAGCUAUUGGUUUCCGUUGCUGCUGGAGUCAAGCUCCAUGAUCUUCAGGUUUCUCAAUGCACUAGUUGGUUUUGGACUAUUUGACACAGGGUUCCUUGUGGUUGGGAGCUGCGUUGAAAUCAGAAUUCCCUUGCUAAUACU